UACGUAGGCAGCGAGCGUUGUUCGGAAUUACUGGGCGUAAAGAGUGUGUAGGCGGUGCUCUAAGUUCGGUGUGAAAUCUCCUGGCUUAACUGGGAGGGUGCGCCGGAAACUGGAGUGCUUGAGCGUGGGAGAGGAAAGCGGAAUUCCUGGUGUAGCGGUGAAAUGCGUAGAUAUCAGGAGGAACACCUGUGGUGUAGACGGCUUUCUGGACCAUAGCUGACGCUGAGACACGAAAGCGUGGGUAGCGAACAGG
rnacentral:rRNA from 1 species